AUUGAACGCUGGCGGCAUGCUUUACACAUGCAAGUCGAACGGCAGCGCGGGCUUCGGCCUGGCGGCGAGUGGCGAACGGGUGAGUAAUGCAUCGGAACGUGCCCAGUAGUGGGGGAUAGCCCGGCGAAAGCCGGAUUAAUACCGCAUACGACCUGAGGGUGAAAGCGGGGGACCGAAAGGCCUCGCGCUAUUGGAGCGGCCGAUGUCGGAUUAGCUAGUUGGUGGGGGAAAGGCUUACCAAGGGGACGAUCCGUAGCUGGUCUGAGAGGACGACCAGCCACACAGGGGGUGAGCGGCGGCCCCGGCCCCGAGGGGAGGCAGCGGUGGGGAAUUUUGGACGAUGGGGGCAACCCUGACCCAGCCGUGGCGCGUGGGGGAAGAAAGCCUGCGGGUUGUAACCCGCUUUUUUGGGGGAAAAAAUCCUCUGGGUUAAACCCCGGGGGGGUUGAGGGUACGGGAAAAAAAAGCACCGCCUAACUACGG
rnacentral:rRNA from 1 species